rnacentral:SRP_RNA from 1 species
GGAUAUAAUUGUAAAUAUAAUUCUAUGAUCAAUCUAAAUAUGUCAGGAUUGUAAAAUAGCAGCAUAAGAUUGAAAAUAAAUUAGUAAUACAAUUAUAUUC